rnacentral:rRNA from 1 species
AGGGUUUGAUCAUGGCUCAGAUUGAACGCUGGCGGCAGGCUUAACACAUGCAAGUCGAGCGGAGAUGAGGUGCUUGCACCUUAUCUUAGCGGCGGACGGGUGAGUAAUGCUUAGGAAUCUGCCUAUUAGUGGGGGACAACAUUCCGAAAGGAAUGCUAAUACCGCAUACGUCCUACGGGAGAAAGCAGGGGAUCUUCGGACCUUGCGCUAAUAGAUGAGCCUAAGUCGGAUUAGCUAGUUGGUGGGGUAAAGGCCUACCAAGGCGACGAUCUGUAGCGGGUCUGAGAGGAUGAUCCGCCACACUGGGACUGAGACACGGCCCAGACUCCUACGGGAGGCAGCAGUGGGGAAUAUUGGACAAUGGGGGGAACCCUGAUCCAGCCAUGCCGCGUGUGUGAAGAAGGCCUUAUGGUUGUAAAGCACUUUAAGCGAGGAGGAGGCUACUGAGAUUAAUACUCUUGGAUAGUGGACGUUACUCGCAGAAUAAGCACCGGCUAACUCUGUGCCAGCAGCCGCGGUAAUACAGAGGGUGCGAGCGUUAAUCGGAUUUACUGGGCGUAAAGCGUGCGUAGGCGGCUUUUUAAGUCGGAUGUGAAAUCCCCGAGCUUAACUUGGGAAUUGCAUUCGAUACUGGGAAGCUAGAGUAUGGGAGAGGAUGGUAGAAUUCCAGGUGUAGCGGUGAAAUGCGUAGAGAUCUGGAGGAAUACCGAUGGCGAAGGCAGCCAUCUGGCCUAAUACUGACGCUGAGGUACGAAAGCAUGGGGAGCAAACAGGAUUAGAUACCCUGGUAGUCCAUGCCGUAAACGAUGUCUACUAGCCGUUGGGGCCUUUGAGGCUUUAGUGGCGCAGCUAACGCGAUAAGUAGACCGCCUGGGGAGUACGGUCGCAAGACUAAAACUCAAAUGAAUUGACGGGGGCCCGCACAAGCGGUGGAGCAUGUGGUUUAAUUCGAUGCAACGCGAAGAACCUUACCUGGCCUUGACAUACUAGAAACUUUCCAGAGAUGGAUUGGUGCCUUCGGGAAUCUAGAUACAGGUGCUGCAUGGCUGUCGUCAGCUCGUGUCGUGAGAUGUUGGGUUAAGUCCCGCAACGAGCGCAACCCUUUUCCUUACUUGCCAGCAUUUCGGAUGGGAACUUUAAGGAUACUGCCAGUGACAAACUGGAGGAAGGCGGGGACGACGUCAAAUCAUCACGGCCCUUACGUCCUGGGCUACACACGUGCUACAAUGGCCGGCACAGAGAGCAGCCACUACGCGAGUAGGAGCGAAUCUUCAAAACCGGUCUCAGUUCGGAUCGCAGUCUGCAACUCGACUGCGUGAAGCUGGAAUCGCUAGUAAUCGCGGAUCAGAAUGCCGCGGUGAAUACGUUCCCGGGCCUUGUACACACCGCCCGUCACACCAUGGGAGUUUGUUGCACCAGAAGUAGGUAGUCUAACCGCAAGGAGGACGCUUACCACGGUGUGGCCGAUGACUGGGGUGAAGUCAUAACAAGGUAACCGUA